GUUUAAGGUGAGUAAAACCAAUGAGAGUUUUCGGAAAUCUUGAAUCAUACAUUAUAUGUAUGUAUUCUAUUUCGAUCUCUAAAAUGAGAAAUAAUCGAUGCAUAAAUUUUUCUAUACAUAAAUCGUAUGGAAAUUAAAUUAAGUAAUUUAUGCAUGAUUUUUAUAAACAAUAUUUUAUAUAAACAGCAAAAUUAGGGUUAAAGAUAUUACCACAGUGACUUUACUCUAAAAUGAUUUGCGAGAUGAAAAUUAUUAUUUAAAUAAGUAUUUGAUAAUUUUGAGUAGUAAUUAGUUACCCACAGGUAGACUAUGUACU
rnacentral:lncRNA from 1 species